rnacentral:lncRNA from 1 species
AAUUGAUUUUAUCUAUUUUGUACUUAUUUUUAACUAAGAUAUUAAAAAAUGUGAAAAAUUUGAGUUGACUUCAAUAAUUUGAUUAUUAGUUGUUGAGAUUUCGUUUGCUAUAGAGUUUAUUAAGAAAUUGUUUAAAAUCUAAGAUUUGAUUAGGAUUGGUUUUGGAUUUGAUUUAAGAUUUGCUUAAGAUUUAGUUUAGAACUAGUUUAGGAUUUUUCUAGGAUUUAGAAUUUCAUUAUUAUUUCAAUUAAGAUUUGAUCUAGGAUUUGAUUAAAAUUAAAUUAAGAUUUGACCUAAAAUAUGACCUAUGGUUUGAUUAAGAUUCAAUUAGGAUUUCAAUUAGGACUAUAUUAGGAUAUUUAUUUUUAAUAUUUUUUAGAAUUAUUUAUUAUUUUUUAAAUAUUUAUAUUUUUAGUAUAUCUUUAAGAUUAUUAUCAUUUCUUUAAAGGUUUAUUUUUAUAUUUUUUGAAAUUUCUUGUUAUUUUUCUUUGAGAUUAGUUUGAAACUUCUCUGUAUUUCUUUUAUAACUUCUUUUAAAUUUAUUUUUCAUCAAUCAAAGUUUGAUUAAGAUUAUUAAGGUUUUUUUAAGGUUAUUU